rnacentral:rRNA from 1 species
GAUGAACGCUGGCGGCGUGCCUAAUACAUGCAAGUCGAACGCGAAAGGCUUGAAGCCUUCGGGCGGAGGGCCGAGUAGAGUGGCGAACGGGUGAGGAACACGUAGGUGACCUGCCCCGGAGAGGGGGAUAACCGUCGGAAACGGCGGCUAAUACCCCAUAAGCUCACGCGAGUUAGAGGGCGUGUGAGAAAAGCUCCGGCGCUCCGGGAGGGGCCUGCGGCCCAUCAGCUAGUUGGUAGGGUAAAGGCCUACCAAGGCGAAGACGGGUAGGGGGCCUGAGAGGGUGGUCCCCCACAUGGGAACUGAGACACGGUCCCAACUCCUACGGGAGGCAGCAGUAAGGAAUAUUGCACAAUGGGCGCAAGCCUGAUGCAGCAACGCCGCGUGCCCGAGGACGGCCUCGGGUUGUAAAGGGCGUUUCUGGCUGACGAGGAAGGACGGUAGGCCGAGGAAUAAGACGUCGGCUAACUACGUG